GACGAACGCUGGCGGCGUGCUUAACACAUGCAAGUCGAACGGAAAGGCCCUGCUUUUGUGGGGUGCUCGAGUGGCGAACGGGUGAGUAACACGUGAGUAACCUGCCCUUGACUUUGGGAUAACUUCAGGAAACUGGGGCUAAUACCGGAUAGGAGCUCCUGCUGAAUGGUGGGGGUUGGAAAGUUUCGGCGGUUGGGGAUGGACUCGCGGCUUAUCAGCUUGUUGGUGGGGUAGUGGCUUACCAAGGCUUUGACGGGUAGCCGGCCUGAGAGGGUGACCGGCCACAUUGGGACUGAGAUACGGCCCAGACUCCUACGGGAGGCAGCAGUGGGGAAUAUUGCACAAUGGUCGGAAGCCUGAUGCAGCAACGCCGCGUGCGGGAUGACGGCCUUCGGGUUGUAAACCGCUUUCGCCUGUGACGAAGCGUGAGUGACGGUAAUGGGUAAAGAAGCACCGGCUAACUACGUG
rnacentral:rRNA from 1 species